GAUGAACGCUGGCGGCGUGCCUAAUACAUGCAAGUCGAGCGAACGGACGAGAAGCUUGCUUCUCUGAUGUUAGCGGCGGACGGGUGAGUAACACGUGGAUAACCUACCUAUAGGACUGGGAUAACUUCGGGAAACCGGAGCUAAUACCGGAUAAUAUUUUGAACCGCAUGGUUCAAAAGUGAAAGACGGUCUUGCUGUCACUUAUAGAUGGAUCCGCGCUGCAUUAGCUAGUUGGUAAGGUAACGGCUUACCAAGGCAACGAUGCAUAGCCGACCUGAGAGGGUGAUCGGCCACCCUGGAACUGAGACACCGUCCAGACUACUACGGGAGGCAGCAGUAGGGAAUCUUCCGCAAUGGGCGAAAGCCUGACGGAGCAACGCCGCGUGAGUGAUGAAGGUCUUCGGAUCGUAAAACUCUGUUACUAGGGAAGAACAUAUGUGUAAGUAACUGUGCACAUCUUGACGGUACCUAAUCAGAAAGCCACGGCUAACUACGUG
rnacentral:rRNA from 1 species